ACGGUGUGAGUGGAAGUAGCAAAAGCAUACUUGGAAGGAGUGGAUGUGGAAUUCAUCCUAUGAUUCCUAUCUAUUUAUAACCUCUCAUCCCUGUGAAGCCUUCGUAUUCAUAGAUAAGAAGGAACAAAGAGGAGGCUCUGUGCUAAAAUACAAGGAGGGUGCACACAAUCUUAUCGUGCACCACAAGCAGUUGAAGCUGCCAGCAUGAUCUGAGCUUUCCUUCAUCCCAUGGGAGAGAAUAGAUCAUGUGGCAGUUUCACCUGUUGAUGGGAGCAUGAACCCAAAAAAAACCCUAAUCACCACAAACCCUAAUUUUCAUCUUCUGAUUAGGGUUCCUCUUCCUUGCAAAAAUUCAGAAAAGUAAGUGAUGCUAUGUGAAGAAUCUCAUAAGCAGGUGGGAGGUGUUGUUAGGGUUUUUGGUGACAGAGUUGGUGCUUUUGAGAUCCCUCCACCCUUUUAUUUCUUGGGGAUUGAGUUUUUUUUUAAUAAUAUUUUUUCAUGUACUGUUCUUGUCAAUUCAUGCUCCAUAUGCUUCCUUUUGUGUUCAUUUGUUCUGAUCUAUUUAUAAUAAUAUAUUUCCUUUUGUUUUUUUCA